rnacentral:rRNA from 1 species
CCUACGGGCGGCAGCAGUGAGGAAUAUUGGUCAAUGGACGAGAGUCUGAACCAGCCAAGUAGCGUGAAGGAUGACUGCCCUAUGGGUUGUAAACUUCUUUUAUAUGGGAAUAAACUGUUCCACGUGUGGGAUUUUGUAUGUACCAUAUGAAUAAGGAUCGGCUAACUCCGUGCCAGCAGCCGCGGUAAUACGGAGGAUCCGAGCGUUAUCCGGAUUUAUUGGGUUUAAAGGGAGCGUAGGUGGAUUGUUAAGUCAGUUGUGAAAGUUUGCGGCUUAACUGGAAAAUUGCAGUUGAAACUGGUAGUCUGGAGUGUAGUAGAGGUAGGCGGAAUUAGUGGUGUAGCGGUGAAAUGCUUAGAGAGCACGCAGAACUCCGAUUGCGAAGGCAGUUCACUGGACUGCAACUGACGCUGAGGCACGAAAGUGUGGGUAUCAAACAGGAUUAGAUACCCGGGUAGUC